CUUGAACGCUGGCGGCAGGCCUAACACAUACUAGUCGAACGAGUGGCGGACUGGUUAGUAAUGACUGGGAAACUGCCCGAUGGAGGGAGCUACCUACUGGAAACGGUAGCUAAUACCGAAUACCAUCGGCUGUGACCAGAUGGGAGUAGCUAGUAGGUGGGGUAAAGGCUCACCUAGGCGACGAUCCCUAGCUGGUCUGAGAGGAUGACCAGCCACAAUGGAACGGAGACACGGUCCAGAGUCAUAAGGGAGGCAGCAGUGGGGAAUAUUGCACAAGGGGCGAAAGACUGAUGCAGCCAUGCCGCGUGGAUGAAGAAGGCCUUCGGGUUGUAAAGUACUUUCAGCGGGGAGGCGUAACCCGCAGAAGAAGCGCCAGCUAACGCCGUGCCAGCAGCCGCGGUAAUUC
rnacentral:rRNA from 1 species